UUAUCUGUUUGAGGCUUCUAUGUUACUUUUUGUUAUUUACUUAUCUAUUCAUUUAUAUUUAAUUAAUGGGAGGUACCGGGUACCAGGUACCAUUGUACCAAGAAAGAGACGUCCAUGCCAAGUCCACGUGCUCUUAUUUAAAACUGUCUGUAGAAUUUAACAGGAUCAACAACCGUUCUGUUGGUGAAACCUAAAUUUCAUUUUUAUUUUCGAGAGAAUGAAUUAUAAUCAUAUCCAUGGAUGAAACUGAAAGAAAACAAUAGUGUCAGUGGAACUGUUAUGUUCAAGGUGCAAGAAGAAGGUGAUGAAGUUAAUUGCAGGAAUAGAAGGUAUAAAUUCUAUUGCCCUUGACGCUUCCAAAAGCACAGUGACUGUAACUGGAGAUGCUGAUCCUUUUGAGAUAAUAAGACAAGUGAGGAAAUUCAGAAAAUCUGCACAGAUUGUCAGUGUAGGUCCUCAAAAGGAAGAGAAGAAGGAAGAGAAGAAAGAAGAGAAGAAGGAAGAGAAGAAAGAAACAUAUGCAACUUGUUAUGUUCCAAAGACAUGCCAAAGAUGUGAUGUCUGGUAUGUGGUAGGGGAAGAUCCUUAUCAUAAUUGUUCUAUUCUAUAAAUUUUAUGAACUUCAAACCUUUGAUUCAUGGAUCAAGAAAGACUAAACAGUACACUAGUUCUGUUGUUUAUCAGUCUAUGAAAGAAUUAUGUUAAAUCCUCUUGGAAUGUGAA